rnacentral:rRNA from 1 species
AGUAACGCGUGGGAAUCUACCCUUUUCUACGGAAUAACGCAGGGAAACUUGUGCUAAUACCGUAUGUGUCCUUCGGGAGAAAGAUUUAUCGGGAAAGGAUGAGCCCGCGUUGGAUUAGCUAGUUGGUGGGGUAAAGGCCUACCAAGGCGACGAUCCAUAGCUGGUCUGAGAGGAUGAUCAGCCACAUUGGGACUGAGACACGGCCCAAACUCCUACGGGAGGCAGCAGUGGGGAAUAUUGGACAAUGGGCGCAAGCCUGAUCCAGCCAUGCCGCGUGAGUGAUGAAGGCCCUAGGGUUGUAAAGCUCUUUCACCGGAGAAGAUAAUGACGGUAUCCGGAGAAGAAGCCCCGGCUAACUUCGUGCCAGCAGCCGCGGUAAUACGAAGGGGGCUAGCGUUGUUCGGAAUUACUGGGCGUAAAGCGCACGUAGGCGGAUCGAUCAGUCAGGGGUGAAAUCCCAGGGCUCAACCCUGGAACUGCCUUUGAUACUGUCGAUCUGGAGUAUGGAAGAGGUGAGUGGAAUUCCGAGUGUAGAGGUGAAAUUCGUAGAUAUUCGGAGGAACACCAGUGGCGAAGGCGGCUCACUGGUCCAUUACUGACGCUGAGGUGCGAAAGCGUGGGGAGCAAACAGGAUUAGAUAC